rnacentral:rRNA from 1 species
AGUGCUUGCACUCUGUGAAACAAGAUACAGGCUAGCGGCGGACGGGUGAGUAACACGUGGGUAACCUGCCCAAGAGAUCGGGAUAACACCUGGAAACAGAUGCUAAUACCGGAUAACAACAGAUGAUGCCUAUCAACUGUUUAAAAGAUGGUUCUGCUAUCACUCUUGGAUGGACCUGCGGUGCAUUAGCUAGUUGGUAGGGUAACGGCCUACCAAGGCGAUGAUGCAUAGCCGAGUUGAGAGACUGAUCGGCCACAUUGGGACUGAGACACGGCCCAAACUCCUACGGGAGGCAGCAGUAGGGAAUCUUCCACAAUGGACGCAAGUCUGAUGGAGCAACGCCGCGUGAGUGAAGAAGGGUUUCGGCUCGUAAAGCUCUGUUGUUGGUGAAGAAGGACAGGGGUAGUAACUGACCUUUGUUUGACGGUAAUCAAUUAGAAAGUCACGGCUAACUACGUGCCAGCAGCCGCGGUAAUACGUAGGUGGCAAGCGUUGUCCGGAUUUAUUGGGCGUAAAGCGAGUGCAGGCGGCUCGAUAAGUCUGAUGUGAAAGCCUUCGGCUCAACCGGAGAAUUGCAUCAGAAACUGUCGAGCUUGAGUACAGAAGAGGAGAGUGGAACUCCAUGUGUAGCGGUGAAAUGCGUAGAUAUAUGGAAGAACACCGGUGGCGAAGGCGGCUCUCUGGUCUGUUACUGACCCUGAGGCUCGAAAGCAUGGGUAGCGAACAG